rnacentral:rRNA from 1 species
UGUAAGCGUAUACCAAAGUUGUUGCAGUUAAAACGCUCGUAGUCGGAAUUUGGCAGUUCCGGAUGUGUGCACGUCGUGUGCGCACUUCGGGGGGAUUGCUUUUGUGGUCUUGCGUAGGAUGAGGCACUUUUAUUAGUGAACGUCCUCACGCAACCACUUUUUACUGUGAGAAAAUCAGAGUGCUCAAAGCAGGCAUUUGCCGUGAAUGUAUUAGCAUGGAAUAAUAGAAUAGGACUUGGUUCUAUUUUGUUGGUUUGUUGGGACUGAGUAAUGAUUAAGAGGGACAGUUGGGGGCAUUUGUAUUUCGGUGCUAGAGGUGAAAUUCUUAGAUUACCGAAAGACAAACUGCUGCGAAAGCGUCUGCCAAGGAUGUUUUCAUUGA